UACGGAGGAUGCAAGCGUUAUCCGGAUUUAUUGGGUUUAAAGGGUGCGUAGGCGAAUAUGUAAGUCAGCGGUGAAACUCACAGGCUCAACCUGUGCCGUGCCGUUGAAACUGUGUAUCUGGAAUGCGGAUGCUGUGGGAGGAAUGUGUAGUGUAGCGGUGAAAUGAAUAGAUAUUACACAGAACACCGAUUGCGAAGGCAUCUCACAAAGCCGUUAUUGACGCUGAGGCACGAAAGUGUGGGGAUCAAACAGGA
rnacentral:rRNA from 1 species